UUGCUUUGGCAGCACAUAUACUAAAAUUGGAAAGAUCUAGGGAAGAUUAGCAUAGCCCCUGAGCAAGGAUGACACGCAAAUUUAUGAAAUGUUCCAUAUUUUU
ensembl:snRNA U6 U6 spliceosomal RNA